GCGAAAGUGGCGGAAUUGGUAGACGCACCAGAUUUAGGUUCUGGCGGGCAACCCCCGUCCGGGUUCGAGUCCCGGCUUUCGCACCA
rnacentral:tRNA from 1 species